ACAAAUCUCACCAGGGCCGGGAGAUAUCACACCAUCACAGAUUAUAUAAUGGCAUGUAUUUCCAAACUUCACAUAUGCUAUGUUCGGUCCGAGAACCGACUAAACCGUAGCUCUAAUACCAAUUAAUUGUAACACCCCUAACCCGUAUCCAUCGCCAGAAUAGGGUUAUAGAGCAUUACCGGAGUUUACAAAUUAAUUUACAGACGUUUCAUUUCAUCAAGCAUUCAUAUUUAUAACCAAUCAAAAUCAAAACAUUAAUGAGCUAACGUUGGCCAAUUUAACUUAUACAUGCCAUUAUUACCAGAAUCAAAUCAUCCAAAAUUACCGAUAAAACCAAUGGAUAGUGUGAUAUAUCUCUAGCAAGCCUCCAACCCAAUUCAGCUUUCGAUAAUC
rnacentral:lncRNA from 1 species